rnacentral:rRNA from 1 species
ACUNCAUGGAGCAAGUCUGAUGGAGCACGCCGCGUGAGUGAAGAAGGGUUUCGGCUCGUAAGCUCUGUUGUUGGUGAAGAAGGACAGGGGUAGUAACUGACCUUUGUUUGACGGUAAUCAAUUAGAAAGUCACGGCUAACUACGUGCCAGCAGCCGCGGUAAUACA